GACGAACGCUGGCGGCGUGCUUAACACAUGCAAGUCGAACGGAAAGGCCCUGCUUGCAGGGUACUCGAGUGGCGAACGGGUGAGUAACACGUGGGUGAUCUGCCCUGCACUUCGGGAUAAGCCUGGGAAACUGGGUCUAAUACCGGAUAGGAGCCAUUUUUAGUGUGAUGGUUGGAAAGUUUUUUCGGUGUAGGAUGAGCUCGCGGCCUAUCAGCUUGUUGGUGGGGUAAUGGCCUUCCAAGGCGGCGACGGGUAGCCGGCCUGAGAGGGUGGACGGCCACAUUGGGACUGAGAUACGGCCCAGACUCCUACGGGAGGCAGCAGUGGGGAAUAUUGCACAAUGGGCGCAAGCCUGAUGCAGCGACGCCGCGUGGGGGAUGACGGCCUUCGGGUUGUAAACUCCUUUCGCUAGGGACGAAGCUUUUUGUGACGGUACCUAGAUAAGAAGCACCGGCUAACUACGUG
rnacentral:rRNA from 1 species